AAAGUACUACUUCCGUCCCAAAAUUCUUGUCCUAGAUUUGUCUAGAUACGGAUGUAUCAAGUCACAUUUUAGUAUUAGAUACAUCCAUAUCUAGACAAAUCUAAGACACGAAAUUUGGGACAGAGGGAGUAGUAG
rfam:Triticum aestivum genome assembly, contig: Triticum_aestivum_CS42_TGACv1_scaffold_569252_7AS